UACGGGGGGAGCAAGCGUUGUUCGGAUUUACUGGGCGUAAAGGGCGGGUAGGCGGCCACUGCAAGUCGGUUGUGAAAUCUCCGGGCUUAACCCGGAAAGGGCAAUCGAUACUGCAGGGCUAGAGUGCAGAAGGGGCAACUGGAAUUCUCGGUGUAGCGGUGAAAUGCGUAGAUAUCGUAAGGAAGACCAGUGGCGAAGGCGGGUCUCUGGACAGUUCCUGACGCUGAGGCACGAAGGUCAGGGGAGCAAACGGG
rnacentral:rRNA from 1 species